rnacentral:rRNA from 1 species
UACAGAGGUGGCAAGCGUUGUUCGGAAUUACUGGGCGUAAAGGGCGCGUAGGCGGCCUUGUAAGUCCUGUGUGAAAUCCCCCGGCUCAACUGGGGAACUGCACAGGAGACUGCUUGGCUUGAGUUCGGGAGAGGGAAGCGGAAUUCCGGGUGUAGCGGUGAAAUGCGUAGAUAUCCGGAGGAACACCGGUGGCGAAGGCGGCUUCCUGGACCGACACUGACGUUGAGGCGCGAAAGCCAGGGGAGCAAACGGG